GAUGAACGCUGGCGGCGUGCCUAAUACAUGCAAGUCGAGCGGACGGACGAGGCUCUUGCUUGUCUGAUGUUAGCGGCGGGCGGGUGAGUAACACGUGGAUAACCUACCUGUAAGACUGGUAUCACUUCGGGAAACCGUAUAUAAUACCGGAUAAUAUUUUGAACCGCGUGGUUCAACAGUGAAAGACGGUCUUGCUGUAACGUAUAGAUGGUUCCGCGCUGCAUUAGCUAGUUGGUAAGGUAACGGCCUACCAAGGCGACGAUGCCUGGCCGAACGUAGAGGGUGAUAGGCCGCAUUGGAACGGAGACGCCGUCCAGGCUACUACGGGAGGGAGCAGUAGGGAACGGUCCGCAACGGGCGGAAGCCUUGCGGAGUAGGCGCGCGUGAGUUGUGGCAGUCCUCCGAUCGUAAAAACCUGUUACUAGGUAAGAACAUAUGUGGAAGUAACCGUGCACAUCGUGACGGUACCUAAUCAGAAAGCAACGGCUAACUACGUG
rnacentral:rRNA from 1 species